ACAGAUCGUUCAGAGUUUGAUCCUGGCGUCAGGAUGAACGCUGGCGGCGUGCUUAACACAUGCAAGUCGAACGAUGAUCCCAGCUUGCUGGGGGAGUUAGUGGCGAACGGGUGAGUAACACGUGAGUAACCUGCCCUUGACUCUGGGAUAAGCCUGGGAAACUGGGUCUAAUACCGGAUAUGACUCCUCAUCGCAUGGUGGGGGGUGGAAAGCUUUUGUGGUUUCGGAUGGACUCGCGGCCUAUCAGCUUGUUGGUGGGGUAAUGGCCUACCAAGGCGACGACGGGUAGCCGGCCUGAGAGGGUGACCGGCCACACUGGGACCGAGACACGGCCCAG
rnacentral:rRNA from 1 species